AAGAAUUCUAGGUACAUUCAGAAACAACAAAAAUACCGCUGCAUCACUGAAUAGCCAGUGUUUGUAAGAAAAUUUUACAUGCCAAUAUUGCCCCACUAUUCAAAUUAGAUGUGCAUAACAUGCAUUUUUGCUAUUGUUGAGUGGAUGCUCUAAGAGUUUAGGAUGGCCUUGAUUCCAAAAACAAAAAAAUGCAUCUUUGUAUAUGCAUGCACAAUACAGAUGCUAUCAUCAGUGCAGAUAAUCACAAUAAUCACAACAGUUCAUAGGCCAGAAUAUAAACCCAUAAGUGAUUGAACUGGUGGAUAGGCUACAAAACACCAACGUGCCUGCGAUCCCACGCUUAAAUCAUGAUAUUAAUACGGAGUUGUCUUUCACAAUGAUCAAAGAUGCUGCGACAGUAAAAUCAGGUCCUACCAAGCAUUAAUGGCGGGUUUGUCUGAGAGCAACCUUGUUGUAGAAAUGUCC
rnacentral:lncRNA from 1 species